ACCAUCAAACUCACCACCAUCUAUCAUGGGUGAGCCGUUUAACCCGUUCAAUCCUCCAGCAAGUCCCCUUAGAUCCCCCAGGUUAGCCUUUGGGGGCACAUUUCCAGCCAAGGUGUUUGUGUUUCCUGAAACAUCAGCGGCAGAUUUAGAUCAUGUGUCUUGCUUAAUGUAUCAACUCUCUCUGGCUUUCUGGUUUUGUUAGAGGUUCUGAAGUUGAACUAGUACCUGUAAUGGAGCCAACAAUGAUGAGCCGCUUUGAUGGGUAAUCUGAUUGCUUCAGGUCACCAAGCAGCAAUCUUGAGAGAAGGAAGUGUCCAAGAUGGUUAGUUCCAACACUAAGUUCAAACCCUUCAGCAGUGAAUGUUGGCUCCUUAGCAGUGGGCAAGUAGACAGCAGCAUUACAAACCAGGACAUCAAGUGGCCUACCCGAACGUCGAAAAUUGUCUGCAAAUUGUCGGACACUUUCAAGAGAGGCAAGAUCAAGAUGCAUAACAGUGUAGUUUUCCUUAGCAAUGCCUGCUGAUUUAGCAGCCCUAUCAGCCUUUAGGAAAUUCCUGCAUGCCAUAAUAAUGUGCCAUUUCUCUGUUUCAGCUAGAGCCUUGGCUGUGGCUAAACCCAACCCAGAGGAAGCUCCUGUGAUAAUUACAUUGCCCUUUCUCAAAGUUUUCUUCCCUUCUGGUGAGGCCUGGCUGAUUGCUGGAGUUGUAGCUGUUUGGGCUCUAAUAACUCCAACAGGUAGUUUCCUUCUUUUGAGUUCCUGCAAUGAAGCUCAUUGAUAAGAUGGGAAUGCCAAGGGACAAAAAGGAAAAAAGGACAAAAAAAAGAAAAAAAAAAAAAAAAAAGAAACUAGUUUGUUCCAAUGAACAAGAUAAAAAAAGUUGGGAUUAUCACCCAAAUAAAUUUGUAGGCUAUGGGUGAAUAUGAACAUCACAUGGAACUGUACUUUCUUCUAUAUUUUAUAGCAUUUCAGAAUCAUUGCAUUUUAAAUUGCAUGUGAGGCAUUAUCUUCAGGAUUCUGUGAAAUGUAAUUCAUCUUGGUUCUUAUUUACAAAUAAUUGUUUGGAGCUCCCAUGGAAAUAGAUUCAUUCUCCAAUCCUUUACAUAGAAUUUGAAAAAUAUUAUCAUCUUCAAUUUUUAAUUCAACAUGUUAUUGUUGUCCACAUGUCUGUUUGUAGUGAAGCUACUCUAAUAGAAGAUGUGCAUUACUGCCAUAGAUGCAACAGUAAAAACAGUAAAGUGGCUUGAAUUUCCAUAGGAUGAUCCAACGCCCCAUUAAACUAUAAAUACUGGUUUUUAAACUAUACAUUCCCAUUCUUGUAAAACACUGGUAGCUCCCAGAAAAUUGUUCCCUGUUAUACUGUGGUCAUGUCUUACAAAAAAAGAUGACAGAGCAAUUUCUAAAAUGGUAAUGUACACAAAUAAUCUUUUCCUGUUUCAAAGGCUAACAUUUUGUUGGCUACCUCAUUAGACAAGCUGAUUUUAGGAAUUUAUGAUGGCAGCUCAGACUUGUAUCGCAUAAUAUUUCCCCUUUUUGCAUCAAAUUACUCAAAGUUAUGAGUUAAUCCUGAAGUAAGCUUUUCCUAAGAAUGUUAUUGUAAUUUGUAUCCAAGGCCUUUGUCUUCCCUGAAAAUUCCAUAAUAAUUGUUAUUGUUUUGGCUCCUUUUUGUAUCAGGUUUUUUUAAGGAACAAAAUCAGUCACUACGUGGAGAUGCAAUGGGAACUCAAUAGCCCUUACAACAUGGAGCUUCAGAAUACUGAAAGGGAGAAAUGAAACUGAAAAUUGAUAAAUUCUGUCUCAGCAUGUCACCUUGUUCUUUGACAAACCAAGGCUUAAUUCAGCCUUAAGAUGGUCUGAUACUGAAACUCCAAAGAAACCCGUCUCCUUUAGAGAAGCAUUGGACUUGCCCUGUCAACAUAACACUCCAUUUAAAUUAGAAAACUCAAAUAAGGAAAACUCAGAAGAAGAAAUUGCUGAGGAAGAAAACCCAGAAGUUGCUAAGAGACCUCUUUGUGGAUGGAGACAGCCGAGGGAAGUAAUGAGGCUGCUUGGAGAGCCAUGACACUUAAUUGUCUGUCCUAGUUGGAGCUUUUGUACUGCUCUAAUGAGGAGCUUUUGAAGGAAUAUUGAAUGAAUUGGUUUCUCUUCUCGGAUGCAAGGAAGGAUAAGAAAACUUAUGGGCUGCCGACUGAUGUGCCAUGUCAACUUCUCUUAUCCAAUCAACAUAUAUGGGCUGGGCCUGAACACACAAACAAGGAUGCCAGAGAAAUAUCAAGGGUGGGAAGGGCCAAGCUGGACCCAAGUCAUGGGCUGCUCUACCUCAGAUCAGUUGGAUCUGUAUGCAGCCUGCUCCAAGUUUGGAUUGUAUUGGAGAAAUGUGGAGCAACUAGUCUUGGCCAGGAAGUCAAAAGCUCCAGUGUUUCAAAUUUCUGGCAUCACACCCAAAGAUUUCGUUUCAUAUUGCAAAGUGGGUUGCAAGCAUGAUGGUGUAGUGCCCUGAUGGCUUUGGCAGACAGUAACGAGAUAAUGCCCAAGAAACUUUGAAAUUCAGAAGUCCAGCACAUGGAGUUACAGUACUGUUUAACACCCUUUUACUGGUCAGUUCUCUACAUUCAUGUAUCUGGAUCAUUUAAUCAAAUGAAAAGUUUAGCAUUUCAGAUA